rnacentral:rRNA from 1 species
AUGGCCGAGAUGACUGAUGAUUCAACCAGCGACAUUGGCAGCGAUGCGAGCCUGCUGCCCUCGUCGAGCUGCUCGGCAAGGACGCCGUCGUCGGUGAGCUCCAACCACCUGAUGCUGCCCUCCGAGGAGCACUCAGCUGACGGCGGGAGGUGGAUGGAGGCUCAGAGGGUGAGGAACGAUCUCCUGAAACUGCUGCAGCUGAUGGACCAGAGGUGCAACCGGUGCUUCGACGAUAUCCAGACCACAACGUCCAAGUUCAGCAGCAUGGUGGCGCAUCUGGGCGGCGGAGGCGGUGCCAUCGCGCCGCCGCCGUUCGCGCAGCGCGCGCUCUCCGCGGUGUACCGGAGGCUGAGGAAGCGGAUUACGGGCCUGAUCAUGGCGGUGGCACAGAGGUCUGGCGGGGGCGGUGGCGUAGAUUAUUUCAACACAGCAUGCCCACAGGGUACUGUGGGUUGA